AACAUUCAACGCUGUCGGUGAGUUUUGUCCUCCCAGUUAAACCAUCGACCGUUGAGUGUACC
rnacentral:pre_miRNA from 1 species